AUUGCCCUAGUAACGGCGAGUGAAGCGGCAACAGCUCAAAUUUGAAAUCUGGCCUCCUUUGGGGGUCCGAGUUGUAAUUUGCAGAGGGUGCUUUGGCAUUGGCGGCGGUCUAAGUUCCUUGGAACAGGACAUCGCAGAGGGUGAGAAUCCCGUACGUGGGCGCCUGCCUUUGCCGUGUAAAGCCCCUUCGACGAGUCGAGUUGUUUGGGAAUGCAGCUCUAAAUGGGAGGUAAAUUUCUUCUAAAGCUAAAUACCGGCCAGAGACCGAUAGCGCACAAGUAGAGUGAUCGAAAGAUGAAAAGUACUUUGGAAAGAGAGUCAAAUAGCACGUGAAAUUGUUGAAAGGGAAGCGCUUGCAGCCAGACUUGCCCGCAGUUGCUCACCUAGGCUUUUGCCUGGGGCACUCUUCUGCGGGCAGGCCAGCAUCAGUUUGGGCGGUUGGAUAAAGGCCUCUGUCACGUAUCUCCCUUCGGGGUGACCUUAUAGGGGAGGCGCAAUGCAACCAGCCCGGACUGAGGUCCGCGCAUCUGCUAGGAUGCUGGCGUAAUGGCUGUAAGCGGCCCGUCUUGAAACACGGACCAAGGAGUCUAACAUCUAUGCGAGUGUUUGGGUGUCAAGCCCGGGCGCGCAAUGAAAGUGAACGGAGGUGGGAACCGCAAGGUGCACCAUCGACCGAUCCUGAAGUCUUCGGAUGGAUUUGAGUAAGAGCAUAGCUGUUGGGACCCGAAAGAUGGUGAACUAUGCUUGAAUAGGGUGAAGCCAGAGGAAACUCUGGUGGAGGCUCGCAGCGGUUCUGACGUGCAAAUCGAUCGUCAAAUUUGGGCAUAGGGGCGAAAGACUAAUCGA
rnacentral:rRNA from 1 species